GACGAACGCUGGCGGCGUGCUUAACACAUGCAAGUCGAACGGAAAGACCCUGCUCUUGUGGGGUGCACGAGUGGCGAACGGGUGAGUAACACACGAGUAUACUGACCUUGACUUAGGUCUAUCUCCAGGAAACUGGGGCUCAUACAGGAUAGAAGCUCUUGCUGCGUAGUGGGGGUUGGAAAGUUUCGGUGGUUGGGGAUGGACUCGCGGCUUAUCAGCUUGUUGGUGGGGUAGUGGCUUACCAAGGCUUUCACGGGUAGUCGGCCUGUGAGGGUGACCUGACACAUUGGGACUAAGGUACGGCCCAGUCACCUACGGGAGGCAGCAGUGGGGAAUAAUGCACAAUGAAGGGAAGCCUGAUGCAACAAUGUCACGAGCUGGAGUACGGCCUGCGAGUUGUAAACCGCUUUCGCCUGUAGCGGAGCGUGAGUGACGGUAAUGGGUAAAGAAGCACCGGCUAACUACGUG
rnacentral:rRNA from 1 species